AAACAAUGAUAUUAUAAAUUUUUAAUAUCCGCCCGGGUAUUACGAACACAAGUUUAAAACCCAAAGGACCUGGCGGUGCUUAAUAUCCCCCUAGAGGAGCCUGUUCUAGAACCGAUAACCCCCGUUCAACCUCACCCCCUUUUGCAACCCCUGCCUAUAUACCGCCGUCGCCAGCUUACCCUGCUAAGGACAAAUAGUAAGCAAAAUUGGUAUAUCCCAAAACGUCAGGUCGAGGUGUAGUAUAUGAGGGGGGAAGAGAUGGGCUACAUUGACUAAUUUAGUCUACACGGAAAGCUAUAAUGAAACUUAUUCUUGAAGGUGGAUUUAGUAGUAAGUAAAAAACAGAGUGUUUU
rnacentral:rRNA from 1 species